AUGGAUGGAUGGAUAGAUGGAUGGUUGGUUGGAUUGGUGAGUGGGUGGGUGGAUGGAUGGAUGGAUGGAUGGAUGGAUGGAUGGAUAGAUGGAUGGAUGGAUAGGUGGGUGGGUGGAUGGUUGGCUGGCUGGCUGGCUGGAUGGACGGUUGGUUGGAUGGGUGGGUGGGUGGAUGGAUGGAUGGAUGGAUGGAUGGAUGGAUGGAUGGAUGGAUGGAUGGAUAGGUGGGUGGGUGGAUGGUUGGCUGGCUGGCUGGAUGGAUGGACGGUUGGUUGGAUGGGUGGGUGGAUGGAUGGAUGGAUGGAUGGAUGGAUAGAUGGAUGGAUAGGUGGGUGGGUGGAUGGAUGGAUGGAUGGAUGGAUAUAUGGAUGGAUAGGUGGGUGGGUGGAUGGUUGGCUGGCUGGCUGGAUGGAUGGACGGUUGGUUGGAUGGGUGGGUGGGUGGGUGGGUGGAUGGAUGGAUGGAUGGAUGGAUGGAUGGAUGGAUGGAUGGAUAGAUGGAUGGAUGGAUAGGUGGGUGGGUGGAUGGUUGGCUGGCUGGCUGGGUGGAUGGACGGUUGGUUGGAUGGGUGGGUGGGUGGAUGGAUGGAUGGGUGGGUGGAUGGAUGGAUGGGUGGGUGGAUGGAUAGACAGAUAUAGAUAUAUCUCAGCUAUUACUCGGGAGGCUGAGGGAUGACAAUCACUUGAACCCGGGAGGUGGAGGUUUCAGUGAACCAAGAUUGCACCACUGCACUCCAGCCUGGGCAACAGAGUAAGACUCCAUUUCAAAAAAAAAAAAAAAACAAAGAUAUAUCUCAGCUAAACACUUUACACAGAUUUUCUGAUUUAAUCCUAUCAGUGUGAGAAGUAUUAUCUGUUUUAUUAAUGAGAAAAACAGAUUUACAGAGUUUCGUUUGUUCAUUUUUUUUAGUGGGUGGACAGUGCCUUGCUCUGUUGCCCAGGCUGGUGUGCAGUGGUGUGAUCACGGCUCACUGCAGCCUCAAACUACUGGGCUCAAGCUUCCUCCUGUCUCAGCUUCCCAAGUACCUGGGACCAUAGGCAUAUGCCACCAUGCCUGACUUUUUUUUAUUAUUAUUAUUAUUUGUAGAGAUGGGGUCUUGCUAUGUUGCCCAGGCUGGACUCAAACUCCUGGCCUCAGGCAAUCCACCUGCCUCGUCCUCCCAAAGCAUUGGGAUUACAGGCAUAAGCCACCAUGUUCAGCCCCAAGAGAUUUUUUUUUCAACCUUACCAAGGUCACAAGCUGACAGGAGGUGGAGGUGAGGGUAACAGUGGCUUUGAGGACUCUGCAGUCACCACGAUGCACUCCCUCCAUCCCACUUGCAUCAGGCACCUAGAGCCCCACCCUACGCCAUGCCAGGUUUCCUGCUAUUUCUUAGGCUGGCCUGACACCGUCUCGAAUCCAUGUCUGUGUCCACAGCUGGCCCCAGGUUCCUCUCCCAGGGCUCCCCCCUGGUUCUUUUGAGAUCCUCCUCAUACAAGAGGCUCCAGAUAAGUGCUGCCUCAGACGCCAGGCUGGACGUUCUGCCAGAGUACAAGCUUCACGCGCCGAAUCAGGGGUUCAUGGGCUGGCUCUUGAUCCUCACCCUCAGAACCUAGUUCGGAAAGAGUAGGCAUCUGAGUGAUUCUAUUUUUUUUUUUUUUUUUUUACAGAGGGGGUCUUGCUGUGUUGCUCAGGCUGGUCUCAAACUCUUGACCUUAACUGUUCCUCCAUGGCCUCCUAAAGUGGUGAGAUGAUUGACUUUACAUCCUCAAGCUUAGCUCAGGAGCUCUGACACAGCAGGCAGCCAAGGCAUGUUGGCUGAAUAAAUGAACAAACCCAGCAAUGUUUUUACACCUCACGAAUAUUGGUGGACUGUAUCACCUUUGAGAAAUCAUUGAUUAUAUAAUAAUUGCAAAAAUUUAGGUCGCCGAUUAGAUUACAAACACAUAAUUUUGAUUGUGGUAAAAUAUAUGUAACAUAAAAUUUACCACUGUAACCAUUUUUAAAAUGUGCAAUUCAGUGACAUUAAGUAUAUUCACAUUGUUGGCAGGGCGCGGUGGCUCACGCCUGUAAUCCAGCACUUCGGUAGGCCGAGGCUGGCGGAUCUCUUGAGGCCAUGAGUUAGAGAACAGCCUGGCCAACAUGGAAAAAACCCAUCUCUACUAAAAUACAAAAAUUAGCCGGGCGUGGUGGCGGGCGCCUGUAAUCCCAGCUACUCAGGAGACUGAGGCAGGAGAAUCACUUGAACCUGGGAGGCAGGAGUUGCAGUGAGCCGAGAUCACGCCACUGUACUUCAGCCUGGGCAACAGAGAGUGACUCCAUCUCAAUAAAAAAAGAAAAGAAAAAGUAUAUUCACAUUGUUGUGCAACCAUUACCACCAUCUAUCUUCAGAUUUUUUCAUCAUCUCAAACUGAACCUUUGUCCCCAUUAAAUACUAACUCCUCACCCCUCCUCCCCAUUCCCUGACAAACAUCAUUCCAUUUUCUGUCUCCAUGAGUUUAAUUAUUCUAGGUCCUUCCUGUAAGUGAAAUUACACAAUAUUGUCCUUUUGUAUCUGGCUUAUUUCACUUACCACAGUGUCCUCAAGGUUCAUUCAUCUUAUAGCCUGUCUCAGGAAUCCUGUAACUGGUGAAAGACACUCACUGGAUCAUCAAAAAACAUCGAUGAGCUUCUGCUGUGGGCAGGGCCUGUACUUUCCAGGCCAACUAAAAAGAGGUAAAUGAUAAGAGUCUCUGCUCCAAAGUGUCAGCCAACCAGUUUCACUUUUAAAUCUUUUUUUUUUUUUUUUUUUUUUUUUUUGAGAUUUCUGGAAUCUCUUCUGCAAUUAAUAGGUUCACCUGGAGAAAUCAUCUGCAGUCUACAGGCUAGCCUGGAAAGUCAUUUUCAAAGGUGAAGAGGAAGGCCAGGAAGGCCGGGUAUGCCGGGUAUGUUGGCUGCCUCUCAUAUAGCAGCAUGGGACCCCUUAAAGUGAAAUUGGCCAGGUGCAGCGGCUCAUGCCUGUCAUCCCAGCGCUUUAGGAGGCCAAGGCAGAAGAACUACUUGAGCCCAGGAGUUCAAGACCAGUCUGGGCAACACAGUGAGAACCCAUCUCUAAAUAUACACACACACACACAUACAAAAAUUAGCCAGGCGUGGGCUGGGCUCAGUGGCUCACGCCUAUAAUCCCAGCACUUUGGGAGGCCGACGCGGGUGGAUCACCUGAGGUCAGGAGAUCGAGCCCAUCCUGGCUAACACGAUGAAACCUCAUCUCUGCUAAAAAUGCAAAAAAUUAGCCAGGCGUGGUAGUGGGCACCUGUAGUCCCAGCUACUCGGGAGGCUGAGGCAGGAGAAUGGCGUGAACUUGGGAGGCAGAGCUUGCAGUGAGCCGAGAUCGCGCCAUGGCACUCCAGCCUGAGCGAGACUCCAUCUCAAAAAAAAAAAAAAAAAAAAAAAUUAGCCAGGCAUGGUGACAUGUGCCUGUGGCCCCAGUUGCUCAGGAGACUGAGAAAGAAGAAUCUCUUGAACCUGGGAGGUAGAGGUUACAGUGAGCCGAGAUCACGCCACUGCACUCCAGCCUGGGUGACAGAAUGAGACUCCGUCUCAAAAAACAGACAAACACACACAAAAUGUCUUUCUGGGGCAUGGUGGCUGACACCUAGAAUCCCAAAACUUUGGCAGGUCAAAGUAUGAGAAUCACUUGAGGCCAGGAGUUCAACAUCAGCCUGGGCAACAUAGCAAGACUCUGUCUCUAUACAAUUUUUAAAAAACUUAACCCGACCAGGCAUGGUGACUCACACCUGUAAUCCCAACACUUUGGGAGGCUGAGAUGGGAGAAUCACUUGGGCUCAGGAGUUUGAGACCAGCCUGGCCAACAUGGUGAAACCCUGUCUCUACUAAAAACACAAAAAUUAGUCAGGCAUGGUGGCAGGCACUUAUAAUCCCAGCUGCUCGGGAGGCUGAGGCAGGAGAAUUGCUUGAACCCAGGAGGCAGAGGCUGCAGUGAGCCAAGAUCUAGCCACUGCACUCCAGCCUGGGGAACAGAGACUCUGUCUCAAAAAUAAACAAAUAAUAAUUAACCAGACCACAGGCCUGCAGUCCUAGCUACUCAGGGAGGCUGAAGAGGUAGGAUCUCUUGAGCCUAGGGGGUAAAGGCUGCAGUGAACCAUGACCCCACCACUGCAUUCACUUCUGCCUGGGUGACAGAGUGAGACUCUGCCUCCAAAAACAAAAAAAUAAUUCUGGGGGGCUCCUUCCCUGAAGAGCUUUUCUUGAGAGCUCAUGAAUUGACUCAUGGUAA
ensembl:lncRNA